ensembl:lncRNA
CCCCUACAAAGAUUUAUUGAAACAUAUUUGGUAUGGUUAUGUUAACUUCAUUGGCAUGGUAACAUUUUCAGUCAAUCAUUUACAAUUACCCUCAGCGUACUUUGGUGAGGAACUUAUAGAACUUGAUUUAUGGAACCCCGCAUCUGAGGUUCUGGACUGUGUUGGUCGGUCUCGCCUGCUGCUGGCUUCCUCCCCUCUGUCACCCAUUCUUUUUAAUCCUCCGUAACUCUGUAUAAAGAGGACUUUUAACUGGUCUACUUUCUUACACGCUCCUGGCAGCGCCUUUUACUGGGUUCUUGCUCUUUGUGCCACCAUUAAGACAUUAUGGGCGUGAAGAUAUUGUAAUUAGAAGUUAAAGGUGGGCCUAGGGUUGUCUAGUGUUAUAAGCCAGGUGAUGUGCAGGCAUUGGGGUUGUCUUGUGUUAUAAGCCAGGUGAUGUGCAGGCAUUGGGGUUGUCUAGUGUUAUAAGCCAAGUGAUGUGCAGGCAUUGGGGUUGUCUUGUGUUAUAAGCCAAGUGAUGUGCAGGCAUUGGGGUUGUCUUGUGUAAUAUGACGCUGGUUGUGUCCAGUGUUUUUGACCAAUGUUAGUCUACUGUUAUAAGCCUGGUGCCGUGCGGGGACUAAGGUUGUCCAAGGUUAUAUGACACUGUUGAGUGUUAUAUGUCAAUGUUAUGUCUAGUGUUAUAAGCCACUGUUAUGUCUAGGGUCAAAAGCCAAUGUCAUGUCUAGUUUUAUAAGCCAUUGUUAUGUCUAGUGUCAUAAGCCAAUGUCAUGUCUAGAUUUAUAAGCCACUGUUAUGUCUGGUGUCAUAUGCCAAUGUCAUGUCUAGUUUUAUAAGCCACUGUUAUGUCUAGUGUUAAAAGAAAGAUCCAUCCAGUACAAUACCGUUGAUGGAUGGGUUAGAUUCAGCCCCACUGAUAUAUUCAGCAGACUCCUCUGUCUUUCUCAUUGUCUCUGUUCAAUCAAUAAAGCAGCAAAAUGCCCCCAAAUUAAAUAAAUAUUUUAUAAACUAGAAUAGAUUGAAAUAUAAUAUGUCCAUGCUGAUAUUCCAUCCAUGUAGACAGACAAUAUGUGGAAAAGAUAUAUGUUUCCCUGGAGAGUCCGGCUCGGCUUAUCCAGGAACGUCUGCCAUUUCCUCAGGUCAACGUCCCUCAGGGGCAAGAAUACUGAUAAAGUCAUUUUCGCUCUGUAGCUU